rnacentral:rRNA from 1 species
GUCUAUGGCCACACCGCCCUGAACAUGCCCAAUCUUGUCUGAUCUUGUAAGCUAAGCAGGGUCGGGCCUGCUUAGUACUUGGGCAGGAGAUCACUAUACGAACAUGGUUUUACUGAGAUGAAUAGGCGUCCCCUACA